UCUCUUGAAACCCUAGUCUUUUAUCUCUGUUUAUUGCUUGUGUUGUUGUUUGUUUUGAUGCCAUGAUUGAUGCCUGUGAUGGUGUUAAAUAUACUUUGAGAGCUAAGUCUCUAGGAAAACAAAUCAACUCUGAGGCUAUUUCAAUCUUUUUUUUUUCUCUUUCUCUAGUCAUGAAUUGCUUUCUUUUCUGUUACUUUUAUCUCUAGUUUAUUUAGGUAUUAAUUGUAUAUGAUGAUUCUCCCCAUAAACUAUUGUGUUAUUCUUGGUUUUACUAAGAGGUUUAAGUGUGAGUGCAAGUGAUGAUAAAAAGACAGGGACAUCAGAUUCUCCAGAAUUUGGAGAAGUAGAAUGAUGAGUAUGUCUAGAUGGGAAUCUCUCUGAUGCACUUUCUUUACCUAUCCUUUAGUUUUUCUUAGAUGUUUUUGAAUGUUUGGUAAUGCCUGUGAUGCAUAUUGAUGUGUUUUCAUCAGAUUUUUCAAAGUGAUGAAUUAAAUCACAAUUGUCACUACCUCUGAGGCAUACUUUUCAAUGUUGUUUUGUUUUUGUUUGCUUGAGAGUAGCCUGGUGAUUGUAUCUAAGAACGGAGAUAUGAAGGGUUGUUUUGUUGUAGCCUAAUAUUAGUUUGGGCUCCAAAAUCUUACCUAAUGAGGGUGAGGAUCUAUCCUGAAUAGAGUUCAAGCUUCCCCAUAUGAAGAUUUGUAAAUUAUGGUUCUAUCUUGAAUAAGUUAAUAGAGUUCAAUCUUCCCCAUCCUAUAUGACAUUUGUAAAUUAUAAGUGUAACCUUUUCAGAAAUUAGAGAUAUAUACAAAUUGUUAAUUUUCGUUAA